AGCAUCCUCCUCUCCUGGUGCUUGAAAAGCUCGGAAAAGCAGAAGCUGCUGCAGCUGCAGUGGUAGCGGUGCUCUGAGGCUUUACGAUGAUUAAUUACAUAAGCUGUGAUGGGAACUGCUGCACGGUGGGAAUGAAGAACCUGAAGUGUGGAGGAAGGCAUGAAAUAUGUUUAAAAAAACCCUUAAAUCCAGAAAGAUGCGGUUUGUGAAUCUCCCUUCCCGACAAAGCCAGGAAUCCAGAUGCCAGUUUUGCAAAUCUCAGCAGUGUGAAAUAUGAGAUGGAUCCCAGAGCUCUCUUCUGGUCUCAUCUUCCUCCUCUCCAGCCAGAACAACUCCACCACCAGCUCUCUCCUUGAAACACAGUCCUUACUUCAAUGCAGAGCCUGUUAACUAUGACAGUAAAGAGACUGAUACAACCCAAUUCAAUUAAAACCCAUUUCAAACUGGUCUGCUCUAUUAAACUAGAAUGUGAGAACAAAACACUUGCACAAGGUAUAAUUCAAAAUCAUGCAUGGGGCUUAUUUAAAAAAAAUAUGAGUUUAAUUAUUUUUUCCCGUAAUUAUCCAAGAAACUGCUUUAAAUCUGCAUUGCCAUUAACGACUCCACAAAGCUUUAAAAGAUGUAAUACACAUCAUGUCAGGAUCUCAAAAUGCCUUAUAAAUUAUAAUGAAACAGUGAAUCCUCAAAUCUACUUUCAAGUAAAUAACUAUGGCAGGCACAGUUGAGAAUCUUCCAUCUUCAACUGCUUGGGCUGCAGUGUUUCACUUUAUGGAUCAGCAAAAGGCUGGAUUCUUAUUUUCUUUUUUCUUUUAUUUUUAAUGUUUCAGCAAAAUCAGUUUAACUGGCUUCAAGCAGAUUUGAUGAAAAAAGGCUUUUGCCCAUGUUAAAUAUAUUUUUAUAACUGAAUGCCCAUGUUUGAGACUAUUGUUAAAAAUGUAUCAGGGAGAUGGGCCUUGGUGACAACGAUAUGCUAUUCUGUGAAAAUCUGCCCAAAUUUUGACAAGUUACAAAUUCUGAAAUUUUAAACUUGUUACUGCUUACAUUCUUAGAGACUGAAGGCUAAAUUCCUCAGAAGCUGAUUGCAGUGAUGCACAUUCAGAAUAGUAUAGUUAAUUUUAACUGUGUAAAUUAUUCAGUAGAAUGUGGGGGUCUGCUUCUUAUCAAUUUGUAGCCUAGGAGGCGACUGAAAAUCACUGUGUCUGUCUCAUCGCUCAGGGUAGGCUCAACUAUACCUCAGUUUACAAGUCCUUGCCGACAUUCAGUGCUGGAGAUGCCAUAGACACUCCAGGAAAUUUAUUCUACUAUUUAGUGAAAUAUUAUCUGUAGAAGGUUCCAUCUUGAUAUUGAAGAUGAAUCUCAUGUUAAAACAGGAGCCCAUUAUUUCUUGUCCUCCAUCAUAGAUGUAGAAAGCAGAUUACCACUGUUCUCUUUGGAGCAGAAUUUCACAUUUUUAAAGUCUUUUAGCCAUUUUUCCAUGUCAGAUUAGGCACUAUCACUUUUAUUCCCUUACAGCCUGUUUUUUCAAUGCCUCACCACUCUGAUUGCCCUCCUCUGGACCACCUCCAGCUGUUUCACAUUUUUGUUGUGUCCACAAGUGUACACAUCACUUUUGCUGAUGCCUCACCAGUGCUGAGCAGAGCACUCUGCACCUGCAAAGACAGCCCAGGGCAGCAUCCUCCUGUUUUGCACUAGCCCAGCAUUAUUUCAUUCUGUUGAAUUUGUGUUGUAGGAAGCCUGCUAAGUAUUUGCCCACAGAAUUGCUUUGAAAAGAGUUCCUUUCUGUCCUGUGUUUCUGCAAUUUCUUGUUCCUGUCUGAAUGUAGCUCUUAUUCAUCAUGAAUGCUACCCACAUUUUAAGAUCAUACCUGCAGUUUAUCAAGAUCACUGUAUUUUAUUCAUCUCCUCUACAAUACUUGCAGUCUCUUGCUGCUUGACAUUAUCUUCAAAUUUAAUAAUGAUUCUUUUUGUGUCAUCACCCAACUCAUUAAUAAAUACUACCAGACCUAUAGCAAUCCUCUGUGGACCUUCAUGGAACGCAUCCUUACAUUUUGACAAUGAAGUAUUUGUAGCUGUUUGAGCAUGGUCUGCUAAUGCGACUCAGCACAUAUUUUCAGUACAAAUAUUUACAAGUUCGCAAUUUACCUUCUGCAAAAUAGUUGUUUAAAACUCAGUCUUUCUUCUUCUUUUUUUUUAAAUCUUUUUUUCCAGGAAAUUUUUUUAUUAAAAUACUAACAGAACUCAGACUUUGAAGGAGAUUGAGGAGAGGUAAAUCAAAUUUCAUGUCUCAUUCAAAUACAUAAUUGUGGGAAAUAUCCUGAGGUGCACUUUUAUUAGUAUUCACAGAAGAUGGUCACUCUGUUAGAUACUGCCCAUCUCUCACUGCCCUCCCUCCCAAAGCCUUUUUCAAACUUAGCUCAGCAGCUGAUGGCAAUAACAUAUGGGAAAGCGUAAGUAUUGGAGUAUGGAGAAAGAAAGUCCUUAGUACUCCAUUGAGCCAUCUUGCUCUGAGUAAAAUCUUUGUAUUUGCAGUGACUUGGAGAUCUUAUGCUAAGUUUUGCUCCUUUGAAUCACAUGUCCAAAUGAAUAAUACCCAUCAUGACAGGGAGAACAUAUUUAGAAAAGGGUCACAGAUCAGCUCAUGUGGUUGUGAGCUAUAAUUUACCCACACAAGCUAAAAAAACAGUUCUAUUCACCCUGUUAUAAUCAGCUGGUCCUCUUCAUCCUUUCAGAAUAUAAAAGAAAAUCUCUCUCCUCCUAGAUGCUCAACCAUUCUGUUUUUGGAAAAAUCAGGAAAACCUGGAAGUAUUUCUGGUGUCUCUACCUCUUGAGCAGGCUGAGUAUUGCUUCUGCAUGUCUGAUACAUUGACUUUCCAAACUGCAUAGUUCAAGCACAGUACCACAAAUAAAAAGUGUAGCAACUACCUUUGGAGAUACAGCCUAGCUGGGAGCUCACUUGUCGCCUUGAAACAACAGCCAAGCUUCUGUUCUUUAUUAGAUCUCAUGCUUUUUUUUGCUUUGUAACUCUGAAAGAUCUCAAUGACGAUAAAAUUUUACCAUCCUGUCCACAUCUACAAGGAGCUGUGUGUUCACCCAGUACUACCCUUGUGGAUGUAGCCUCCAACAAUCAGUCCAACUCACAGUCCACCAAGGCAAGGAGCACAAGUUCAGUGUACACCUUAUCUAACACAGCCAUCUGCUACCAAAAUGCUCUCUUCACCCAAGGCCUGGCCACACACAUUCCUUGCGCUUCCAUCAGAUGAUCUAGUGGCCACGCAGCUACAGGACAGGUCCAUUUGGCUGGCAGAUGCCAUAGAAAACAAAGGUAAUAAAUGAAUAUGACUGCAGCUGGAACAGGGGACCAAGACUGCAUUUGAAACUGGCUACUAGGUUUUAGCUCAUUUAGAUGCAACUCAAACAUCUACCUCUGCCUUCUCUCUACAUAUUUAUCUCCUUCCUGCCCCCUCCAUGCAUAAACCCCUGCCCACAUGUUUUAAGUUACCUUUUAAAAAUUAUUUUCAGCAGUUUUCAUUUUUCAUCUACAGUUUAAAAUCCUAUACCACAUGACAAAACCCAGCCUUGGUUCUGCACUGCCAUCCCUGGCAAUGCAUCUUUUGAAAACAGAGGCACUUGUUUGGUCUUUGCUAGACCAGUGUGUAUGUUAAUCUUCCAGUCAAUUUCAUAGUAAUUUACAUUAUCAGAAAUUAAUUUCAAACAAAGGUAAAAAUACUCUUCUCAUUCUCCAGCUCAGCCUUGAAGGACUAUAUUGUAUGAUGGGGAUGGUUCACAGACCCAGCUAGUAGGACUUCUCUCCUACAUGAAGUGACUGAUUCACCUCAUGACCUCUGAUGGGCAUAAUGUUCUCCUCUAAGACAAUUUCCCAGACUUCCUCUAUAGUCACCUGGGGACAAUUAAUUCACCUAUUUUAGAUCCAGAUUUGAUGACAGGAUAUAUUGCCCUCUGGAGCUGACACUAUCUCUUCCUUCUUUUGGUGAGAGUCUGGACAACCAGCUCAGACCAGCUGUUAAAGGAUUGGAGCUGGGAGAGAAGAAACUCAGAUGAUGGGAGAAGAAACUCAGAGACUUGUGCCUACAAAGCAUUCUGAACUCACAUUGAAGUUUUUCACAAACCACUACCCUUUAGAAUUGUUUCCUAAACAUGAGAAGAUACCAAGCAUAAAAAGACUGGGCUGAACCAUGUACACCUAGCUCUUGGGGGAUUAAACCUUCUUUUUUGAUAUUUGAUGACCUAUCCUGUUACAUAUUUUUAAAAGAAAAUUGUAAAAAUUAUGAAGGAAAAUGCAAAAAUAUCCCAAUAUUGCAACAUCCUUAUAGAUGUCAUGUAGGAGAUAUCAAGAAAUCCAAGGUUUCUAGCUUUGCAGUCACCACUAAAAUAAGACUAUGAGGCCAGCAGUUUAGUGCAUGACAUAUGCAGCAACAUGAGUACAUUUUUCCAAGUAGGAAAAAUUAGGACCAGCUUCAGAGAUACUUCUUGCACACAGCAUUGGCUGCAGGCUUAGUCUACCAGUGAUACCAAACUACUUUUCUCUGUGACCGACCCUGCAGAUGAGAGUUUUCAGUGCCUGUACACUGCAUUGCCAGUUACAACCACUGGACUAUAAAAGGAGCUUCCAAAAAGUAAAACUGAUAGCCACAAAGAAAACAUGAGAGAUGAAAACACAACUGAGAGAGACUAAUAAAACUUCAGUUUCCAUCUUCCUGACUCAUUCACUUGCUGCCUUGGGCCAUCCUUUCAUGGUUACAAUAUAAUUCACUGUAGAGCAAUAUCUACCUAGUGUUCACCAGAAAAGUUGUUUUUUCACCACUGUAGUGUCUAAACCCUGUAUAAGACCAACAUUUAAAAAUAUUUGUAUGCAGGUCUUGAAGUUUUAGCUAUUGCAGUUUAAGAAGAAAAUUUUGGCAAUAUUUUAGCAGCCUGCUUUAUCAGUGAGUUUCAAAUAGUUGGAGAUUAUCUGGUUUUAAUAUAGCAUCUAGACGCAUCUCCACGGUGAAAGCAUUUUUGGUCCAAGCCAGAUUAAGGUUUUAAACAGCCUUAGGCAGGGAAAAAUACCAUGGGGGGAUAUAGAGGCCAUGGGAAUGUUCUGUAGUCUUAAACCACCCCUUCUCUAUUUAUGCACAAAUUUAUGCAGAGAACACUUCUACAGCAACUGCUGAAAAAUAUCCAGAGCCAGUGAAAAAGAAUGGAGAGUAAAAUACUCUUUUGAGAAGUGUUAUGCCAUCUGGUUGUUGCAAUACAUGUAAAUACCACUCCUUUAGAAAAAAUUCCUGGAGUAUCACAGGCUUUACUCAGUCUCUUCUUCCUUCAGUGCUUCUGCCUUAGUUUUAACAGGUACUACAAAUUCUGGAAAUAUAUAUGUAUGUAGGCUAUCAGCAUCUUCCAUUUUGCACAAUUUCAUUCUUAAGAAGAAAAUUGCAAUGUCUCUUUUGUAAGAAAUUAGCAUCCCUACUUAAACCUGUUCUGUCACAGAUCCGGGACAUUGCAUGUAGGCUGCUGUUUACUGCAAUUAAAACUCUCCAGAAAUAAAGACCACAACUAAUUUUGUGUUCUGUCAUUCUAUCUUUCUAUCUUUUGUGUUCUCAUUCUUUCUUUGGGAAGCAAAUGCAAUGCUGUUUGCCAUAAUUUUUUCCUUUUGUUUUUCAAAAGCAGAUAGUUCUGUUCUUAAUUAAGUCUCUUAAUUGAAGCUCAGUCUGAAUGACACCAUUCAUUCAUUCAUUCAUUCAUUCAUUCAUUCAUUCUCUAUUGCCAUGAUACCCCUGCUCUCCUCAGAUAUUACCCUGUUCAUGUGCCCUCCCAUCCCCACUCCCCAUCACCAAGGAGUGGCUCUGACCCUCCAUACCUCGAUAAAAGCAUGGACUGCCAUUCCUGACACUCCUAUACAUCAUGUCAGGACUUCAGACAGACCACAGGAUGGUGGCACAGCACCACCUUUGCUUUUCUGUUCAUCAGACACCAUAAUAAAUGUGGGAAAGUUCAGAUAAAAGGAGAUCCCUUGAACACUUUUGUUUGCUGUGUGAAGUGCUCAGAUUUUCAACCGUCAUAUUCUCAUUCUUGCCACAACUGUGGCACCCAUGUCCAGUAAGUUAUUUCUUUCAUAAAGUUAGCAUGGAAUGAUGCAUUUCUCUGAAAAGAAAUGGGAAGAUGUACAUCACAUUUGCAGGAAAACUGCUAACUCUGCUGCUGAUGUGGCAAGAAAAUAACACAUGUUUCAAGUCUGGCUCUAGAAAAGCUUACACAUUGAUUAUCUUUACAGUCCAGAAAUUGUAACAUUCCUUAACACAGAUUUGGGUCUAGGUCUGCAGAAUUCAUAUUCUGAAUUCAGAAUGCAUAGUUCAUAUAUGAACUAUGGCUCAUAAAUACAAAGUAAAUAAAUGCAGUAAAUACAUCAUAGAGAAAUACAGUUCAUAACCACAAAAUUCAUAGUUUCUAUUCCCCCUCACCAAAUUACUAUGUUCUGUCUGCAAUGCUCAUUUGUACAGAACAAUCCUGAAGAGGCCGUAGCAAGGACCCUGGAACCAAAGAUUCACGUUACCACCUGGACACUGAAUGCCCUCCAUAUUUGAGAGAGUCUGUUCCCUCAGGGGGUUGCUGCUGCUCCCUCUGGGAGCUUCCCUCGGUACAAAGCUCCCAAUAAAUG